AUUUAUUAGAUAAAGCCAGUUCAUGCUUUUAUAGUAUGAAAAUUGGUGAUUUAUAAUAACUUAGCAAAUCGCAAAGUGAAAACAGGCGAUAAAUCAUUCAAGUUUCUGACCUAUCAGCUUUCGACGGUAUGGUAUUGGCUUACCGUGGCAGUGACGGUUAACGGGGGAUUAGGGUUCGAUUCCGGAGAGGGAGCCUGAGAAACGGCUACCACAUCUAAGGAAGGCAGCAGGCGCGCAAAUUACCCAAUUCUAACAGUUUGAGAGAGGUAGUAACAAGAAAUAACAAUACAAGGCAGUUAAAAUGCUUUGUAAUUGGAAUGAUAGAAAUUUAAACCCUUUUUAAAGUAUCAAUUGGAGGGCAAGUCUGGUGCCAGCAGCCGCGGUAAUUCCAGCUCCAAUAGCGUAUAUUAAAAUUGUUGCAGUUAAAAAGCUCGUAGUUGAAGUUCUGCUGAAAGUAACCGGUCUGCUUUUAAUAAAAGUGGUAUCUUGGUAUGUAUUUAGCAAUGAUGUCCUUUGAAGUGUUUUUUACUUUAUUGUAAUAAAGCAUAUUCAGGACUUUUACUUUGAGAAAAUUAGAGUGUUUCUAGCAGGCUAACGCUUUGAAUACUGCAGCAUGGAAUAAUAAGGA
rnacentral:rRNA from 1 species